GUCGAGGUUAUCUUUUAGUUCUAUCAAAUACCGAUCUAAAGAUCGAAAUUAUCAUUCAGUUCUAUCAAAUAUCGAUCUAAAGGUCGAGGUUAUCAUUCAGUUCUAUUAAAUACUGAUCUGAAGGUCGAGGUUAUCUUUCAGUUCUAUAAAAUAUCAAUCUGAAAGUCGAUAUUAUCAUUCAGUUCUAUCAAAUACCGAUUUGAAGGUCGAUGUUAUCUUUCAGUUUUAUAAAAUAUUGAUAUGAAAGUCGAGGUUAUCUUUCAGUUCUAUCAAAUACUGAUCUAAAGGUCAAAAUUAUUAUUCAGUUCUAUAAAAUACCGAUCUGAAGGUCGAGAUUAUCUUUCAGUUUUAUCAAAUACCGAUUUGAAGGUC
rnacentral:lncRNA from 1 species